rnacentral:rRNA from 1 species
GAGAGCCUGAACCAGCCAAGUCGCGUGAAGGAAGACAGUCCUAAGGAUUGUAAACUUCUUUUAUACGGGAAUAACGGGCGAUACGAGUAUUGCAUUGAAUGUACCGUAAGAAUAAGCAUCGGCUAACUCCGUGCCAGCAGCCGCGGUAAUACGGAGGAUGCGAGCGUUAUCCGGAUUUAUUGGGUUUAAAGGGUGCGUAGGUUGUUCGGUAAGUCAGCGGUGGAACCUGAACGCUCAACGUUCAGCCUGCCGUUGAAACUGCCGGGCUUGAGUUCAGUGGCGGCAGGCGGAAUUCGUGGUGUAGCGGUGAAAUGCAUAGAUAUCACGAGGAACUCCGAUUGCGAAGGCAGCUUGCCAUACUGCGACUGACACUGAAGCACGAAGGCGUGGGUAUCAAACAGGAUUAGAUACCCUGGUAGUCCACGCAGUAAACGAUGAUUACUAGGAGUUUGCGAUAUACCGUCAAGCUUCCACAGCGAAAGCGUUAAGUAAUCCACCUGGGGAGUACGCCGGC